GGGCUUUCAUCGCGGAUUCGGGUCGCCCUGCUCUCUUAGGCAAGUUCGAGUGACUUCGGCGGUUUUCUCCAUUCUGCUUACCUUCCGGAGUCUUCAUUUCUACAACAGUUGACUGAAAAGCGGCAGAAAAAAUAUUUUGUUCCGUGAGGGAAAAGAAGACCAGAUGAGAAUGAGGACGACCACUACCGUCCCCCUCGUUCGAAGAGGACUAAGAAGGACCAGGCCAUACAGGACCAUCAGGCUAUAGAGUCGACAAGCAGUGAUAAUGAAAGGAACCAAGGCAGCAUCAAUAACCCCAGUCGUGAGAGAGUGCCAGAGAGCAGCUUAAACUCGAGUACUGCUGAACUAGACUCCAAUAUCCCUGGGUUCUCCCAAGAGGAGGAUUAUGAAGUGUGCCAAGACCAAGAUCCUUACUCCCACAUUAACAACAUCUUGAAGGAGGCUCAUUUCUACAGCCUCCAGCAGAGAGGACACUCUCCGACUUGAUGGCCUAGGCAUCCUCCUUUUUUGUUUAUAAAAAGCAAUGGCAUUCACGCAAAGCAGUCUUGGCUUUUGUCUGUAUUUUCAGUAAGAGGUCAAUGGGCAUUGUAUUCUUUUGUUGUGUUGCUCCACCACUGCUAUCUGAAAGGGUCAUUUAUGACAGUUUGAUACGUUUUCUGUCAUGUCUGAUGUCCUAUUCAUGUUAAAAUAGCAGCAUGAGGACUUCUCCUGAAACUGAAUGGAUUACAUGUCCAAUUCACAUUAGUUUCCAAGUGGCUCAUUAGGUUGUACAUGUUAAAUGUUGUUUUAAAAUGUGAUUUCCUUAUUUUGAAAAAUUAAGUGGCCUGGUAAAGUUUGUGUGUUCUUCCUUGAAAUGUAAAAGAACAAAUCAUGGAGAAGCCAAUUCCAAACCAGUAGUAAUGAGCAUUGGUGAGGAGGGGAAAUGUGGGUGGCAUAUUCUCAUUCUGAUAUGAAUAUGGGCUGAUGCUCAGAAGGGAAAUGUCUGCAGAAAUCCUUCCCUACCUAUACUGGUGCAAAAGUCAGCCCAUGUAGGCUGUGAACUUGAAGCCUGUGUCUAGAAACUCCAUUCUUUGUAUUCCAAGGGAGAAGCCUUCUUCCUUUAACACUCCUGUGUGUGCUCUUAAGACCUGUGUCAAACGCUUAUAAAUCAGUCAGAGAAGUGCAUAGCAAUGCUGUAGCUUAAGUACAAAAUUUGGAUAUUUACUGCUUCUGUGUUGUCUUACAGUUCCAUCUAUUAUGUCUAAUGUUGAUAAAAUCUAAGCUAUUGCAAACAAUAUCUGACUUGAGAGGUAUUAUAAAGCUGGGUGGGUGGCUGUCCAUUGACUAAGGAAUUAUUCAUGGGAAAGAGAACAUCACAAGUCAUCAAAAUCCAUACAGAGGUGUGGGGCUGGAUGGGCCAGUAGAACACUGCUUGCCUAGCCUGUGGCAUAGCCUCAAAAUGGCAAAGCUAUCAGCACAGUUAAUGUGGCUUAUGAUGGGUGAGCUGAAUUACCAUUAGAAGAAACAGGCAGUGCUUCUUAGUGAUGGAUCUGUCCUGGUCGUCAGCCAUAUUAAGCAGCCAGCCAAAUAUGCCCAUAUUUUCUUGUUGAUCAAAGAACUGAAGUCACCAUACCU